rnacentral:lncRNA from 1 species
UCCUUUCCUCCCCGAGACCCACGCGGCGCCACCACGUCCGCGACAUCUCUCACUGAUGUGCCUGCGAUGCCGCUGCAGGGUGCCGUGCGUGAAGAAGGGCGGGGUCAGGUUCACCAUCAACGGCCACUCCUACUUCAACCUGGUGCUGAUCACCAACGUCGCGGGCGCCGGCGACGUGCACUCCGUGUCCAUCAAGGGCUCCAAGAGCGGGUGGCAGGUGAUGUCCCGCAACUGGGGCCAGAACUGGCAGAGCAACUCCUACCUCGACGGCCAGAGCCUCUCCUUCCGCAUCACCGCCAGCGACGGCCGCACCAUCACCAGCUUCAACGUCGCGCCCGCCGGCUGGCAGUUCGGCCAGACCUUCGAGGGCGGCCAGUUCUGACCUCCAUCACUCCCAUUCUUCCACCCACCAACCAUCG